ensembl:lncRNA
UUUGAGCUUUGAUGGUGACGUGAGAGAGUUAGACAGGACAGUCUUUUGUGUCGGCUGAAUGUCAUCAUGCGGUCAUCAUCAGCUGGGCUUUCGUAAUCAUUAUCUCUCCAGAACACGCAGUCCAAACACACUGCUUCAAUCGACUUACUCAACAAAUAUCAGAUUACGUCACACGGGUGCAUGGGGCAGACUAUAAAGACGGGUCUUUAUUGAGGAGAACAAUGGUGAGGAGUUACAGCAGAAGAGACCUCCAAAACAUGUGGAGUAUAUGCAGAACUGCAUCAGAGGUCAGGUAUCUUUACAAUUUUAAUGGAGC